CCUGUAGCAAUACAGGUGGCGCACGGCGCACGGGUGCGUAACACGUGGGUAAUCUGCCCUCUGAUGGGGAAUAACUCGCCGAAAGGCGAGCUAAUUCCGCAUAACAUUCCGAGAACUUCGGUUUUUGGACUCAAAGGCGUAAGUCGUCGGAGGAGGAGCCCGCGCACGAUUAGCUAGUUGGUGAGGUAAUGGCUCACCAAGGCUAUGAUCGUUAGCUGGUCUGAGAGGAUGGCCAGCCACACUGGAACUGAGACACGGUCCAGACUCCUACGGGAGGCAGCAGUGGGGAAUCUUGCACAAUGGGCGAAAGCCUGAUGCAGCGACGCCGCGUGGGGGAUGAAGCUUCUCGGAGUGUAAACCCCUUUCGACCCGGACGAAUACCUCGCAAGAGGGGUGACGGUACGGGUAUAAGAAGCCCCGGCUAACUACGUGCCAGCAGCCGCGGUAAGACGUAGGGGGCCAGCGUUGUUCGGAAUUACUGGGUGUAAAGGGUUCGUAGGCGGUGUGGCAAGUCGGGAGUGAAAUCUCUGGGCUCAACUCAGAGACUGCUUCCGAAACUGCUGUGCUGGAGUGUGGGAGAGGCGCGUGGAAUUGCAGGUGUAGCGGUGAAAUGCGUAGAUAUCUGCAGGAACACCCGUGGCGAAAGCGGCGCGCUGGACCACUACUGACGCUGAGGAACGAAAGCUAGGGGAGCAAACAGGAUUAGAUACCCUGGUAGUCCUAGCCCUAAACGAUCAGGACUUGGGGUGCCACCCGUUCGGGUGUCGUCCCGGAGCUAACGCGUUAAGUCCUGCACCUGGGGAGUACGGUCGCAAGACUGAAACUC
rnacentral:rRNA from 1 species